AGCUUGCUGUGGGAAAGAACUAGAGGGUGAGAGGAGAAGAGUACAGUACAAUCUAAUCUAAUCUAUAGCAGCUGUAGAGAAAAGCUCAGAGCAGGAAAGGCAACUGCUGGGAAGAAAGUAAAUAAGAAAAGCUCUUCAGGUAGGAAGGCCUGAGAGAGAGCCUGAUAAAGCAAAGAAGAGACUGGGAGACCCAGAGGGGAAGUAAAGAGCAAGGCCUUGUAUUGCUUAUCCCUUGAAAAAUGUGACUUCUGUAGAAUUGUGGCAAAGUAUGGACUGUCCUUGUGAUGGAUAAGCUUUACAUCAAGAAUGGACACAAGAGAAGUGCCCCAAAGAGGAAGUCUGGGAAUCCUGGCCUGAGGUGACAUGAGAGAGCUCCAGGCACACACUAAUCAAGACUGUAUGCAGCAGCUGCUGCAGGUAGCUAGACUCUGAAGAAAUGGCCCUCCUGCAAUUAAGAAAUCCUUGUUUUCUGAGAGACACGUGACUACCCUAACAGAACUGUGCCCACUGGGUAGCAGAAUGCAGCUGUGUGGAGUGGGUUAAAAUUCUUGUCAGACUUCAUGACCUCUUGGGAGCCUUUACUAAUGCAUCUGAAAGGAAGUUAUUCAAAAGUGAAUGAAAGAACCUGGGGGAUUGGUGAAUGGCUAAUAUUUAUAUAGUGCUUUUCAUCCAAAGGUCCCAGAGUGCUCAGCAAAUUCACAAACUGCAUGUGUACACGGAGCUCACCUCAGCCCACGUGCUGUGGGGUAGAUCGUGGCAAACUUUAAAGAGUGCACAGUAACAUUUUCUAUCUAGUUUAUUUAUAAAAGGUAGCUAGCUACCUGAUGGACAAAGCCUGGGUUGCUAUGGCCUUAGCAUUGUUGCAGAGAACAAUUUUCCUGAAGGGGGGAAUCUGAGGUAGUUAUAGUGAAAUCCAUUAUGGCUUUAUACAUUGUGUUCAGGACGUCAGCUGUACCAGUGUAAAUUAGACUGCCCUAAGACUGCUCUAACUUAAAUGUGGCUGCCAGCAAUAACCCUGAGGAGCUGUUCUGGAAGCCAAAAAUAGCCAGACUGCAGCAGUGCCAGAGCUUUUAAACCAUUCAAAAAUCUGCUAGAAUUAUUCUCCAGGGUCUGUAUCUCCUAACUCUUUGCUCCCACUACAUCAUUGGAGCGGCAUAAAGGGGCUGUAACACAAUGUAUAGUUAGGCCCUGUGUGUCUGUCUGAACUGUAUUAAGUUAGAAGGAAAGGUCCAAGGAGCAGGGACUGAGGUGCCAUCUAUAUUUUGUACAGUACAUUGGUGGAUGUGUACACCCACACAAAAUAGUAUCACUCUCAAAGGUACUAAGCGUACAGAGAGAGUGACUAAAACCUUUUUACAGGUACCUAUGAACAAAGACGUGUCUAGAAGAUGGUAGGCUCAUGGAGAGAAAUAAAUUGUACCACUCUGGUCCUGUUGGGUGAUUAGGCUAAUAGAGAAACUUCUCAAGUGUAGUUCAACAGGAAGUGAAAAUACUUAUGAGAUAAACAAUGCAAUAGUGAAAUCAACCAUAACUGCAAACGCAACCAAAGACUAAACUAAAUAAUGU